rnacentral:rRNA from 1 species
UAGCAAGGUUAACCGUUUAGGGGAGCCGUAGCGAAAGCGAGUGUUAACUGCGCGUUUAGUUGCUAGGUAUAGACCCGAAACCCGGUGAUCUAGCCAUGAGCAGGUUGAAGGUUGAGUAACAUCAACUGGAGGACCGAACCCACUAACGUUGAAAAGUUAGGGGAUGACUUGUGGCUGGGGGUGAAAGGCCAAUCAAACCGGGAGAUAGCUGGUUCUCCCCGAAAUCUAUUUAGGUAGAGCCUCGGACGAAUUCCAUUGGGGGUAGAGCACUGUUAAGGCUAGGGGGUCAUCCCGACUUACCAACCCUUUGCAAACUCCGAAUACCAAUGAGAACUAUCCGGGAGACACACGGCGGGUGCUAACGUCCGUCGUGGAGAGGGAAACAACCCAGACCGCCAGCUAAGGUCCCAAAAUAUUGCUAAGUGGGAAACGAUGUGGGAAGGCAUAGACAGCUAGGAGGUUGGCUUAGAAGCAGCCACCCUUUAAAGAAAGCGUAAUAGCUCACUAGUCGAGUCGGCCUGCGCGGAAGAUGUAACGGGGCUAAGCAAUAUACCGAAGCUGCGGCAGCAAGUUUACUUGCUGGGUAGGGGAGCGUUGUGUAAGUGGAUGAAGGUGAGUUGUAAAGCUUGCUGGACAUAUCACAAGUGCGAAUGCUGACAUGAGUAACGAUAAUGGGAGUGAAAAACUCCCACGCCGGAAGACCAAGGUUUCCUGUCCCAUGCUAAUCAGGGCAGGGUAAGUCGGCCCCUAAGGCGAGGCAGAAAUGCGUAGUCGAUGGGAAACGGGUUAAUAUUCCCGUACUUAUAUAAUCAGUGAUGGAGGGACGGAGAAGGCUAGGCAAGCUUGGCGUUGGUUGUCCAAGUGAAAGUGAGUAGGCUGAAGACUUAGGUAAAUCCGGGUUUUCAAGGCCGAGACACGAGACGAGCUCCCAAGGGAGUGAAGUUGUUGAUGCCCUGCUUCCAGGAAAAGCUUCUAAACUUAUGAUUAUAUGAACCGUACCCCAAACCGACACAGGUGGUCAGGUAGAGAAUACUAAGGCGCUUGAGAGAACUCGGGUGAAGGAACUCGGCAAAAUUGUACCGUAACUUCGGGAGAAGGUACGCCUCUGUUUGUGAACACUUCGCGUGGUAAGCAAAUGGAGGCCGCAGUGACCAGGUGGCUGGGACUGUUUAUUAAAAACACAGCACUCUGCAAACUCGUAAGAGGACGUAUAGGGUGUGACACCUGCCCGGUGCCGGAAGGUUAAUUGAUGGGGUUAGUUUUCGGACGAAGCUCUUGAUCGAAGCCCCGGUAAACGGCGGCCGUAACAAUAACGGUCCUAAGGUAGCGAAAUUCCUUGUCGGGUAAGUUCCGACCUGCACGAAUGGUGUAACCAUGGCCACGCUGUCUCCACCCGAGACUCAGUGAAAUUGAAAUCGCAGUGAAGAUGCUGUGUACCCGCACCUAGACGGAAAGACCCCGUGAACCUUUACUACAGCUUGGCACUGAACAUUGAACCUACAUGUGUAGGAUAGGUGGGAGGCUUUGAAGCACAGUCGCUAGAUUGUGUGGAGCCGUCCUUGAAAUACCACCCUUGUAUGUUUGAUGUUCUAACAUUGUUCCCUUAUCGGGAAUGUGGACAGUGUCUGGUGGGUAGUUUGACUGGGGCGGUCUCCUCCCAAAUAGUAACGGAGGAGCACGAAGGUUAGCUAAUCACGGUCGGACAUCGUGAGGUUAGUGCAAUGGCAUAAGCUAGCUUAACUGCGAGACAGACACGUCGAGCAGGUACGAAAGUAGGUCAUAGUGAUCCGGUGGUUCUGUAUGGAAGGGCCAUCGCUCAACGGAUAAAAGGUACUCCGGGGAUAACAGGCUGAUACCGCCCAAGAGUUCAUAUCGACGGCGGUGUUUGGCACCUCGAUGUCGGCUCAUCACAUCCUGGGGCUGAAGUCGGUCCCAAGGGUAUGGCUGUUCGCCAUUUAAAGUGGUACGCGAGCUGGGUUUAGAACGUCGUGAGACAGUUCGGUCCCUAUCUGGUGUGGGCGUUGGAUGAUUGAUGGGAGCUGCUCCUAGUACGAGAGGACCGGAGUGGACGAACCGCUGGUGUUCGGGUUGUCAUGCCAAUGGCAUUGCCCGGUAGCUAUGUUCGGAACGGAUAACCGCUGAAAGCAUCUAAGCGGGAAGCCGGCCCAAAGAUGAGUCAUCCCUGACCUUUAAGGUCUGGAAGGGUUGUUAUAGACGAUGACGUUGAUAGGCAGGGUGUGGAAGCGUUGUAAGGCGUUAAGCUAACCUGUACUAAUUGCCCGAGAGGCUUAACC